UUCUGGUUGUGUCUAAGGUCUAUAAAUGCCAGUCUUCUUGCUAGCAUGGUUUUCAUUCAGAAAAUAUUGUUUUUGAAAUACGGUGGCCAUCAUUUUUCCUCCAGCUGACAGAAUGUGAGCAAAAUUGGUGUGAGGAAAAAUGGCGCUUAAAUGGUCGAGGACACUACAACAAAAGGAAUUCGCUCCUGAGGAAAAGUGCACUUUUGGUUAAGGCUCUGGGUCGUUGGCUGGAAGAUUGGGGGUUCAAGCCCCAGCACUGCCAAGCUGCCGCUGUUGGGCCCUUGAACAAGGCCCCGAACCCACCCUGCUCCAGGGGCGCUGCAUCAUGGCUGACCCUGCGCUCUGACCCCAACGCCAAAGAUAACACUACAUGCAUCUUUGUCAGAAACCUGAGAUUACACAACAACUCAACACCGUUUGAGGUGAUUGUGUGAAGAUUUCAGCAUGUACUUUGCAUAUAAGUGGAGGAUUUGUGUAAAUUCGUCUUUUUUCUCUUAACCAUUCCUUUGAAGUCACAAGGGUUAUUUCCUAUCCAAAUGAAAUGUUUCGUUGGUAACAGUGCAACAUGAAAACAGUAACGUGUUUCAAAGGUCAACAACCGACUACAAAAGUAAUUUAGUCAUAAUGUUUUUCCUAUAAAUAUUCAGACGGCAGUUAAUUAUCAGCUGAUUCUUUCUUUCUCUUUGCCUCUCUCUCUCUCUCUCUCUCUCUCUCACACACACACACACACACACACACACCCUUUCUCUCUUUGUAUGUAUGUAUGUAUGUGUGUGUGUGUGUGUGUGUGUGUGUGUGUGUGUGUGCGUGUGUGUUUGUGCUUAGUGCAUGCUUGCUGCCUCUACUGGAGAGCUCUAAUAAAAGCGUGAUGUGAGAGAGGUAACGUAUGGGACCCAUUAGAUUGUUUAUUAAAAGUUGUUCCCUUCUGCUCUCCUAAACACUGAACCACAGACAUUUUGAAAAAGUUCUCCUUGGCCACAGGACCGGCAAUCACAGCCUGUGAAAGGGAAGUCCACUCAGUCCAAAAACAGAUGAUCACAUGAAACAUUCUUUUUUAACCCAAUACUGCACAGAGCAUUGCUGGAGGAAUUCUCAUGAGUGGGAGCAAGUUUGUUGGGUUUCGUAUGAAUUAAGUUUUAAUUAAAGCUGCAAGUGUUAACUCAACCCUGCUUUAAACCGAACCAUUCAGAACAUUCCAUUGGCAUGCGGUGCAACGUCCUACAAACUUGCAAUCAUGAGAUUAUCAUGUCUUGGUAUAUCAUUUUUAAAAAGUAUCAGGUCUCUAUAUAUUUUUACAUUCGUCACUACUGUAUGAGGGUGCAAAUUUCCAGAAGCUUCCGGAUGAUCACUUUUAUUAGACACUAAAACAUUAUGUGAGUGUGUUUGUUUAUUUAUUUAUUCAUUUGUUAUAUUUAUUUAUUUAUUUAUUUAUUUAUUUAUU